rnacentral:rRNA from 1 species
GUUGUAAACCAAAGCAAGCAUACUCGGGGACUGCCCUUCACGGGGUGGGCUCGGGUGAUACGGAUAACCCUGGUAAUUCUGAGGCUAAUACGAGACUAUAAUCCCUGGCGGACCGGGCAACUGGGAAGCUGGGGGGCGUGCGAUCUAUUUGCAAGACGAUACCAGGAGGGGGUGCACGCUCUGACCGCGAUAAAGACGGUUCCGGUAAACCUUCGGGCGAGCUGGUUCCGAGCGGCUCUUGCGAUGUGCUUCUGACCUAUCAACUAGAUGGCAGCGUAACGGACAUGCCAUGGUUACAACGGGUACAGAGGAUUAGGGUUCGAUCCUGGAGAGUGGGCCUGAGAGAUUGCUCAUACUUCUAAGGAAGGCAGCAGGCGCGCAACGUUCCCCUUGGGCAAUGCCCGAGGGCGUUAGGGGACAUAUGAAUGGUUGCCUUUUAGGUGGCCAAUUCAAAUGGGUCUGUUCUAAACAGUCUCUCGAGUAACAAUUAGAGGACAAGUCUGGUGCCAGCACCCGCGGUAAUUCCAGCUCUAAUAGCAUACGUUAAAGUUGUUGCGGUUAAAACGCUCGUAGUCGGCUUCAGAUCAUCAAAUGCCCGAGACGGGAACCUGGCUGCUGCCUUCAAAGGCGCUCCGGGGGACUGACGAAGGCGGACGGUGGUCAAGCGUGCCUCAGGCUGUACCUUCGGGUUCACAGGGCUCGGCCUCACGGCUGGGCUCGGCUUGGGGUGCCACUUACCAUGACUAAACCGGCUCGAUCAAGAAAGGUCACGACGAUCUUGCACGGCGCAGCAUGGCAUAAGUAUAACUGGUCCGGGGCUUCUUGCAGGUCCUGGGUUGGUAGAAGCAAAAGGGGUGUUCGAGGGUGACCGAAUUGCUGGGCGAGUGGUGAAAUACGUUGACCCUAGCAAGUCGACCAAAGGCGAAAGCAGUCAUCAAGGGCAUUCCCGUUGAUCAAGANCGAAAGUUAAAGGGUUCGAAAACCAUCAGAUACCGUCCGUAAUCUUAACUAUAAAUGAAUACUGACCAAAAAUAGGGAUCUGGUCCAUCUCCACCUCUCGGGAUCUUUUAAAAAAAAUCCACGGAAGGGCACAAANNUACAANAGGGUUUGGGUAUUUGACUCACCCGGGAAAACUCACCUGGUCCGGAUACACGUAUGAAAGACAAGCGUUUAAGGGUUCUCAAUGAUGUAAGUGGUGGUGCAUGGUCCNUUUUAGUUCGUGGAUUGAUUUGUCUGGUCUAUUCCGAUAACGAGCGAGACCCCGGCGUUCCUACUAGGGGCGGCAGCCCGGCUUGUUCCGCAAGGGACUUGCUAGCAGCCGCUUAAGAUGUACUUCUUAGACGUAUCAGAGCCGAUAAGGUUCUUGAAAUGGGUUAAUAACAGGUCAGUCAUGCCCUUUAGAUUUUUUUGGGCCGCGCGCGCGUUCNAAUGGCAUGUAUACCCAGUGCCUAAAAGGGGGUAUCCGGGGCCUAACGGCCUCGGUAACCCUUAGUCCCUGCCUUGACUGGGACAGACUAUUGCAAUUAUUGGUCUCAAACGAGGAAUUUUUAGUAGUCGUAGGUCAUUAACCUGCGACGAAUGCGUCCCUGCCCUUUGUACACACCGCCCGUCGCUGCUACCGAUAAGGUUUUGCGGUUACGAGUUCAGAGGAUGCGGGGGCCUUUNNUCCUUCGGGUAGGCUAUAAUUGUGACCAAAGUUCUAAUUACCGCACGGCCUAGAGGAAGCAGAUAA